rnacentral:rRNA from 1 species
CUCGUGUCGUGAGAUGUUGGGUUAAGUCCGCAACGAGCGCAACCCUCGCCUCUAGUUGCCAGCAUUCGGUUGGGCACUCUAGAGGGACUGCCGGCGACAAGUCGGAGGAAGUGGGGAUGACGUCAAAUCAUCAUGCCCCUUAUGACCUGGGCUACACACGUGCUACAAUGGGCGGUACAAAGGGCUGCGAACCCGCGAGGGGGAGCGAAUCCCAAAAAGCCGCUCUCAGUUCGGAUUGCAGGCUGCAACUCGCCUGCAUGAAGCCGGAAUCGCUAGUAAUCGCGGAUCAGCAUGCCGCGGUGAAUACGUUCCCGGGCCUU